GAACUACGGUCACCUUGUUGCCAGGGUGCCGGGAGGAGCCCUCACCGUUCGGGAUGGGGGCGGACGAGGAGCCGGUUUCAGACAUGGCUCCCGCAGGCAACGGUUCCCCUACGGGUCUCAGGACACAUGCGAGAGACCGAGGAGAAAGCGGCGCACCCGAGUCCGCCAGCAGCGCCUCCUUCCUCUCGUGCAGAGGAUGCUGUUACCGCAUCCAGCAGCUCUCGCCGCCUACCGGCCUCCCAGUCAUAUUCUCCUCCGAAGCCGGGCACUAGACCCGCCCCUCAUCUGCAUAGAAUGAACAGAUCGCAACCGCAUGGGUUUCCGCCCGGGACUACAUUUCCCAGGGUAUUGUGCGGCAAGAUUCGGAACGCUCCGAUAAGAACAGCCGUGGGCAAUGGAGCGGUUGGACGCAGUAGAAGGAUGCGGGCCAUUCAGUGAGGAGCUGCAACGGGCGCUUGCCGCGGGUUGACUCUCUGCGCGGCUAUUGGCUGGGACGUCGGCGACGGUUGCGGAUGGCAGUUGGCGGGUGGCCGGUGGUCGCCGGGCGAGACGGAUGGCGCCCUUUUCGUCCCCGCUUGGGGGUGCUGGGAUCCUAUUGCUUUGCCUGUGGCUGAACGGCUGCCUGGCAGUGUGGAGAUAUACUUAGAGUAUGAAGGAACAUUAUUUACGCAGUGGGAUGUUCCUUUGCUAUGCACUGUUACUAAUAAAAAGUAAGUAUAGCAAAAUACGUAAAAGCA